AAAACAGAGGUGAGUUGGCAGCUCUCAGCUACUGCUUCUGCUACACAGCACUCCACGGGACGCAGCUAGCUUCGUGGCUACAGGGUCCUUGCAAACAGACUACUGAUUAAACAGUACCAGGUCAGAAAUUCAACUCGUCUUCCGAGAUGAACUAAACAACAUAAUGUGAACGCCCCUGGAAAAACACAGGCUGUUCCUAUUAAACAGUCACUGGUGUGGCAGAAAUAGCUUCCUUUGACGCGGACAUUCCUUAUGCUACAUGUUGAGCUUUGACUGUUAACAAGUGUUGAUGAUCUUAAAUUUAAAAGGCUCCAAGAUGUCCUCUUCUGUCAUCCAGCACUGAACAUUCCCAAAGAUUGUAAUAUCUAGAUGUUACCUCCUCCAGUUCCUCCUCUCUCAUUUGGACUGCACCAGGUAUAAUGUCACUGAGGCGGGUGUGAAGCAAGGAGGGAGAUCACGUGACUCUUGCGUUGGCUUGACAACCACUAUAAUCGUCCUCGCCUGGUGCUUUAAAGGCACCUUGGAGACACAAUGCCAG